UGGUGUGGUGUAAUAUCAAGAUCAGUAAAUGAAUGGCGGGGAAGAAAGGCAUGGAAACUAAGUGGUGAGGUAUGUCCCCUUUAUCGAAUGGAAGCAGGACCUGAAGUCCAUUUCCUUGGAUACAGACAGAGGGCAGCAGAAACAGAAGAGUCGCGGAUUUCUGUCGUGUCUGCAUUUCCCAACAAAUUUUUGUUUCCAUGGGAAUGAGGAAAUAAGGCUACUUCCUAACAGUACCUUCCAAACCCUGACUUUCUGCUUCGUUAUGUGACUUGCUUUGGCCGACAGGGUUGUAGCAAUGUGGAUGCAAGCAGGGGAUUCAGAAAAUUCUCACAUGUUUCCACCUCAUCUCUUGCUCCGUCAUCAUCAUGAAAACUAGUCUGCUGAUGGAUAAAACUCAUGUAGUAGACCCAACAAUGACCCAUCAUGAUAGCUGAGGCCAUCAUCAAUUAGAUGAAAACCAGGUGACCCCCCACACAUGUGAGGGAGCCCAGAUGAGCCCGUCACUGAUCAGAAGAACUGCCAGAUUGCCUGUAGCCUUCUGAGAAACAAUUGUUUGAAGUAUUUCAAACCCAAGUGAAAGAAUGAUGGCGACCAAGAGAAAAGAAGUGGGUUUGUGGUGCUGAGGAGGCAGAAGUAAGAGUACAGAGAUGCCAAAGUGGCUGGAAUUCAUCAGGCAAGGUACCAGAGAGGAGGGAGCUGCACAGAAGUUGGGGCAUGAAAGUCUACACGGGCAAUCUCCUUAGGUUCUUAAUUGUGCAUGGGCAGCAUGAGACUUGAGUGGCUCCCGGGGACUAAGCUGAAGAGGGUUACCAUGGGCAUACAGUGCUGGAAGACAUUGGAAUCCUAGUCCAGCCCAAGAGGAGGGAAACAUACUAGCACCUUGGGAAUUUCAAUGAGACCCCAAAAAGGCCACAUUUUAGGAAUAAUUACUGUAUGUGCUAGAGAAAAGUCUAUGCCUUGGGAAUAAGGAAAUAUCAAAGCAGACACACCUUAAUAAAGCCUAAAAUCAAGUUCAAAAGGAAUUAGAGGAUCUUCCAAUAAUUAACCUACCUGCCACAACAAAACUCAAAUCAUUUCAAAAGCAAAUAAUUUAAACUCCCUACAAAGCAACAUCCAUAAUGUUCAGUGUACAAUAUAAAAAUUUUAGACAUACCAAAAAGUAAGAAAAUAUGACCUAUGAUAAAGAGAAAAGAUAGCCAAUAAAAACAGAUCUCAAGAGGACCCAAAUGUUGGACUUAUCAGAGAACUUUAAAACAAUCAAUAUGUUUAAGAAUUAAAUGAAGAGUUAUACAUAAUGAAUAAACAGAUGGGAGUCUCAGCAGAGCAAUGAAAAUACAAAAAAGAAAACAAAUGGAAAUUCUAGAACUUAAAAAUAAAACCUCUGAAAUGAAAAUUUCACUGGACGUGUUUAACAGUGAUAGAUGUUACAGAAAAAAAAAAGGGUCAGUGAAUUUGAAGACAAUGCAAUAGAGAUGAUCCCAACUAAA